GCUUCUUUGCUUUAUGACUCGUUCUGAACAAGUCCUUUUCCGCGCUGUGUCUCACUUUCCUCUUUUGUAAAAUGGAAAUAUUAACUCUAGACGCCGGUCUGAUUAGGUUGCUUUGAAGAUCGAACCAGAUGAGGGAAGCCAAAUACUUCAUAGGCUGUGAGGUGGUGAAGCUGAACUGCUACCGAGUUGCUAUUUUUUUCUCCUCCUCCCUCUCAAGCUAAACGUUCUUUAGAUCUUUUGUGAUUUCUUCAGGUGGUCUUUGCGACUCCCUAGGCUCCGACCGGGAAGAAAUCUUUUUUACACUUCCCUUUCACAGAGCCCUGCAUUUUAACUUCCCUAUCAGAAGCGAGAAAAAUAGUUAUCAUUUUGAGAGGGCUUACUCUAUGCCAAGCCCUGAGAAAACUCUUUACGUGGAUUAUCUCGUUUAAUUUCACAGCAUCCUUUUAAGUUUUCCAUGGACACGGCCUAGCAGAAAGACGCAGCCUUCGUGCUUCGCUGACUGCUGACCACUGACCCACCGCCUUGAUGACAGCACCCUCGUGUGCCUUCCCAGUUCAGUUCCGGCAGCCCUCAGUCAGCGGCCUCUCGCAGAUAACCAAAAGCCUGUAUAUCAGCAAUGGUGUGGCCGCCAACAACAAGCUCAUGCUGUCUAGCAACCAGAUCACCAUGGUCAUCAAUGUCUCAGUGGAGGUAGUGAACACCUUGUAUGAGGAUAUCCAGUACAUGCAGGUACCUGUGGCUGACUCCCCUAACUCACGUCUCUGUGACUUCUUUGACCCUAUUGCUGACCAUAUCCACAGCGUGGAGAUGAAGCAGGGCCGUACUUUGCUGCACUGUGCUGCUGGUGUGAGCCGCUCAGCUGCCCUGUGCCUCGCCUACCUCAUGAAGUACCACGCCAUGUCCCUGCUGGACGCCCACACGUGGACCAAGUCAUGCCGGCCCAUCAUCCGACCCAACAGCGGCUUUUGGGAGCAGCUCAUCCACUAUGAGUUCCAAUUGUUUGGCAAGAACACUGUGCACAUGGUCAGUUCCCCAGUGGGAAUGAUCCCUGACAUCUAUGAGAAGGAAGUCCGUUUGAUGAUUCCACUGUGAGCCAUCCCACCAGCCCCUGCAUUGGAGUCAGAGGUACAGAUCUAUUGUUGAUCUUACACCAAGAUCCAAACUUGAACAUUCUACUUUUGUUGAUACAGAAAAAAACAGAUGAUGCCUUUUAUGAGCACAAAAAAAAGAGUUGCUGUAGCUUUUAACUUUAUAAUCCAUUUUUUUUUAAGAUUAAACUAAUUGUGAGAUGGUGAAGAUAAAUUUUCUGCCCUGUGAGUGACACUGGCCAGGGGAUAGGUUGAGGCAGAUGGUGCCCAGAAGAAAGAGGGCAGCACCCAUUGCACAUGGCAGGCCUGGAAUCCUGCAGCCCUCCCCAAAAACAGAUUGACCCAGGAAUGAAUCUGCUACAAUUCCACCUCAUUCUUUCACACCCAGAGCCAGAGCCUUAAGCAUCAUGGUACCUCUUGCGCUUCUUACAGCGGCUGCUGAAGAUGGCAGAGGGGCAGGUCCUGGUGCUCAACGGUCGAAGCUAUCUCCUGGGCUUCCUGAGGGCCAUGGUGGCUAAGCAGGCCGGAAGGUGGUGGUCGUACACUGCGGGGGCAUCAGUAUUUCUGGCAAUGUCUAUAGAAAGAAGUUGAAGUACCUGGCCUUACUCCACAAGCGGAUGAACAGCAACCCUUCCCGAGGCACCUACCACUUCUGGGCCCCCACCACUUCCGGGUCCCCAGCCGCAUCUUCUGGCGGACCCCGAGGCAUGCUGCCCCGCGAGACCAAGGAAGCCAGGCCGCCCACGACCGCCUCAAGGUGUUUAACGGCAUCCCACCACCCUAUGACGAAAAAGCAGGUCGUGGUUCCUGCUGCCCUCCAGGUUGUGCAUCUGAAGCCUACAAGAAAGUUUGCCUACCUGGGGCAGCUGGAUCACAAAGUUGGCUGGAAGUACCAGACAGUGACAGCCACCCUGGAGGAGAAGAGGAAGGAGAAGGCCAAGAUCCACUACCAGAAUAAGAAACAGCUCAUGGGAUGGCCGGGCGCGGUGGCUCACGCCUGUAAUCCUAGCACUUUGGGAGGCGGAGGCGGGCAGAUCAGGAGGUCAGGAGAUUGAGACCAUCCUGGCUAACAUGGUGAAACCCGGUCUCUACUAAAAAAAUAAAAAAUAAAAAUAGCCGGGCGUGGUGGCGGGCACCCGUAGUCCCAGCUACUCGGGAGGCUGAGGCAGGAGAAUGGCGUGAACCCGUGGGGCGGAGCUUGCAGUGAGCCAAGAUCACGCCACCGCACUCCAGCCUGGGCGACAGAGUGCGACUCCGUCUCAAAAAAAAAAAAAAACAGCUAAUGAGGCUACAGAAACAGGCCGAAAAGAACGUGGAGAAGGAAACUGACAAAUAAUGGGGUGUCCUCAAGACCCAUGGACUCCUGCUGUGAGCCCAAUAAAGACUGUUUACUCCUCAAUAAAUAAAUAAAUAUGUAAAUAAAUAAAAACAGGGAACUGUG